CUCAAGUUGAUAACCACCGGCGUUAAGCGUGAUUAAAGCUUACAUAAGUUAGGGUUAAACCAAUACUUAGUAGUGAUAAGCUUGUUAUUGAGAAAACCAUAAACGAAAGUUACCCUAAUUAUAAUACUUGAAUACACGACAGCUGGGAAGACAAACUAGGAUUAGAUACCCUACUAUGCUCAGCCGUAAACAAUUAAUUUACACCAAUCAGCGCCAGGGAAUUACGAGCCAUGCUUAAAACCCAAAGGACUUGACGGUGUCCCACCCCCCUAGAGGAGCCUGUUCUAUAAUCGAUAAUCCCCGCUAUACCCUACCAUUCCUCGCCUCAGUCUGUAUACCUCCGUCGAAAGCCUACCCUGUGAACGUCCAGUAAGCCCAAUGACCCCCCUCAACACGUCAGGUCAAGGUGCAGCUCACGGAAUGGAAAGUAAUGGGCUACAAUUUCUAACAUAGAACAAACGAAAGGCCAUGUGAAACCAUGGUCACGAAGGUGGAUCUAGCAGUAAAAAGAAAAUAGAGUGUUCUUUUUAACCCGGCUCUGGGACGCGUACACACCGCCCGUCACCCUCUUCGAUAGCUUUACUUCACGUUUAUAACCCUUUAUCCGCACCUUAGAAGAGGCAAGUCGUAACACGGUAAGUGUACUGGAAAGUGCACUUGGAUUACAA
rnacentral:rRNA from 1 species